AGGAUAUUUUGCUCGAGUCCAUGGCGCCAGUCAGCUUCUAAAGGCAUUUCUACGGAAGACAGAAUGUAACUGUCAAAUUCUGACCCUUGGGGCUGGGAUGGAUACCACCUUCUAGAGGUUAAAGGAUGAAGAUCUUCCACCAAGUAAAUAUUUUGAAAUUGACUUUCCAAUGAUAGUCACGCGAAAGCUGCACAGCAUCAAAUUGAAACCUCUCCUAUCAAAACCCAUUUUAGACUUACAUUCAGAGGACACACUUCAAAUGGGCAAGUAUCCUCAACCUAAGUAAUACAACCUUUUCC